UUCCCAGCUGACCCUUGACCUGACCAGAAACCAGCUGAUUGUGGGAGCUAGAAAUCACCUCUUCAGACUGAGUCUCAGUAAUGCUUCUCUCUUACAGGCAGUAGAAUGGGGACCAGAUGAAGACACUAAGCGGUCGUGUCAGAGCAAAGGAAAGACAGAGGAUGAGUGUCAGAACUACAUCCGGGUCCUGCUCAUCACCGGGAGGCGGAUCUUUACCUGUGGAACCAACGCCUUUACCCCCGUCUGCACCACCCGCAGAUAGGAAACAUCAGUUCGGGUGAUGGACACGUGAACGGGGUGGCGAGAUGCCCCUACGACCCGCGUCAACAACUCCACUGCCAUGGUAACAGAGAAGGGCGAACUCUACGCCGCACUGUCAUCGACUUCCUCGGGUCGUGACCCGUCAUCUACCGUAGCCUUGGUAACAUGCCGCCAGCUGCGAACAGCCAGUAACAACUCCAAAUGGC